ACUCAGGCACAUGCAGCAUCAUAUCCCCUGGCCUUUCCCUGGACAAAGGGGAUUUUUGCUGUCUGGGACUUGGACCCCAGGCACCAUCCUCCGAUCCCUGUGGCAGAAGUAGACAAUUGGAUUGGCAGUGCCUGGGACCACAGUGAUCCUAACAGAAAGGAUGGCAGGAUCAAGGACACCCCUGUGCAUGAACACCUCUUGACCCUGUGCACUCCCUUUGUCCAGAAAUCCCCAUGAAACACCCUCCUACCAGAGAUCUGGGGCAAGACCUGGCACAGUCCCUUUCUGCCAGGCGUCUUUCAGGCUGUGUGUGACAAUUCCAACCGGUUGAAUUGCCUAGGAAGGGAGCACUGCCAAACAUGAGGCACCAUCAGAGGUAUUAGCAGGGAGAUGGGGUUGGUUGAGAUGGGAGAAAUCCUACCCCUUCCUCAUAGAUCCUCCAAGAGGAAAACCUGAAAAUCAGGGCAACCAGCUCUGCCUCCUGUCCCUGUUGACCGGGUGUGUCAGCAGAUACUGCGUGCUCCACCCGCACAUUGUGGCAGCACCCUGAGCAGUCAGGCCCCCACACCCGCUGUCCCACACCCCCGUCUGUGGGAAGGUCACCCCUGUUCCUAGGCACUGUACCCGAGUGGGGAGCACAGUCAGGGUUCAUGGUGGGGUCAGCUGACUCACUCCAUCCCUCCCUUGACGCCGGGAGGUGUAAUCACCGCCCUCCAUAGCCUGUGUUUACUAUCCCCGUGGAACCUUUGUGCCGGCUGGGAGCCGCAUGUUGAUGUUUCUUUUGCCCAUGGUGACCGCGCGGUGUCACCUCUGCGAUGUCACCCCUGCCCGCCGCACCCCUGCUCAAAGGGGCAGGGCUCCGCUAUUUAAGGAUGCCUUACAGCCGGGAGAGCUGUGCCAAGGACGGGGAUCCCGAGUGCUGCCGGCGUUGCUUCUCCUGGGAGCUCUUCCACAGCUUGGAGACCACUGAGGAUGUGUGACCCCAACCAAGGCCCGCCACAACUGCACAUUGCAGGACGCCCUCCUGCCCCUCCAGGACAUCCUGGUCCUGGCACAGGGCCCUCCCCUGGCGGUGUGGCAGUCUGCCCCCCAGGCCCUGCUCCACCUGGCCAGCACCCCCACGGGCAACCCCCAUUGGGACAUCAUCCUCAUGGACACCAGGAGCACCAUAAGGAGCACCAUAAGGAGCACCAUAAGGGGCACCAUUAGAAGAAGCACUGCAAGCACCAUGAAGACAAGCCCUCUGGUGGCUCAUGCAGCUCAAGCAGCAGCUCAAGCAGAAGCUCUGACUGACUAAAGGUCUGGCAUCUCCCACCUGCUCCGUGGUGAUCAGCAAAACAUGAGACCAAGCUCCUCGAGGGACCCCCCUGCAUGCUACUCCUCACCCUCCCCCUUUCCCUUGGAGCAGUGUUUUGCCUGCUGAGUUAUUUUUCUUGUGUGAAAGAGCUUGUAAAUCCUUUGACCUGCAAUCUCCGAGUUAAUGGACAACAUUUCCACCCUCUAUCUUCCGUGAGAGCCUGCUGAAAGUCAUCACAUGCUGUUUUCCAA